rnacentral:rRNA from 1 species
GUGGGGAAUUUUGGACAAUGGGCGCAAGCCUGAUCCAGCAAUGCCGCGUGCAGGAAGAAGGCCUUCGGGUUGUAAACUGCUUUUGUACGGAACGAAACGGUCCGGGUUAAUACCCUGGGCUAAUGACGGUACCGUAAGAAUAAGCACCGGCUAACUACGUGCCAGCAGCCGCGGUAAUACGUAGGGUGCAAGCGUUAAUCGGAAUUACUGGGCGUAAAGCGUGCGCAGGCGGUUUUGUAAGACAGGCGUGAAAUCCCCGGGCUCAACCUGGGAAUUGCGCUUGUGACUGCAAGGCUGGAGUGCGGCAGAGGGGGAUGGAAUUCCGCGUGUAGCAGUGAAAUGCGUAGAUAUGCGGAGGAACACCGAUGGCGAAGGCAAUCCCCUGGGCCUGUACUGACGCUCAUGCACGAAAGCGUGGGGAGCAAACAGGAUUAGAUACCCUAGUAGUCC